ACUCACAUUUCUAAUUUCUUGACAAAGACAAAAACUUUGUCUUCUGAUCAACCUAAACACCAUUUCUGAAAUCGUGUGUCAGAGACAGACCUCAGGCACAAUUUCUGGUCAAAUUUUAAGAAUUUUCCAUUGACAAAAUAACCCCAAGUCCUCCACGGCGCACGCCAGAGCCCUCCUGGUCGGCAGGGACAAGACUCAGCCCAGGCUGCCGCGCUGAGCGCCCGUCCCUGCGCUGGGGGCAGACCCCAGCCUGCCGCCAAGACUGGGAAAAAUCCCCAAAUCGCCAAAGAUCGACCAAAUGUCACAAUUUCACAACGGGGGAAGAAAGACCGAGACGAGGUCAGCGACUCACCUAGGACGGUCAGGGUGGUCCCGGACCCGAAUAUACCACACAUACUGCUGCUGUCGUAGCCACCACAGUAAUAGACAGCCUCGUCCUCGGCUUGGACCCCAUUGAUGGUUAAUGUGGCCGUGGAGCCGGAUAUGGAACCGGAGAAUCGUGAAGGGAUGUUUGAGGGUCUGUUGGUGUUGGUAUAGAUCACAGUGACAGGGGCACUGCCAGGUGCCUUCUGCUGGUACCAGCCAUAGUUGUUGAUAAUCAGAUUCUGAUU